CUUACUUCCUGCACAGAGGCAGAUGCUACAGGAAGGCAGAAAUUGCGCCAAAAUUUGAAUGAGAAUAAACUACUGAUUUUACGAUGUGAGGAGAGAGGCCAUAUUGUGAAAAGAGCUCACUUCACCUUAGCUGUUUUCGCAAUAGAAAUGCUAUCACUAGAUGAUGUCCACUCAAUACAAUAACACGGUGUGGUGUAUGAUUGUUGUACAAAGUUUGCGUAGAAGUGGAAGACUACAAGCUUAUCGGUACGACUUACAGAUUGCAGAGAACUUGAUCAAACGCCUUCAUGCAAUUAUUCCUUGAUGGGAACUUGUGACAUCAUGCCAAGUGAUGCUAAAGUUAACAGAUCUACAGCACCAGUUGACAUACAGCCAACACAACAGUAUCUAGUUCAUUGUCAAAAGAAAUGUUUCUGUGCCUCCUUUGUUAAAAAGAUCUAGCAAUGUGACGAGAGAGGCCAUAAAGUACAAAAAGCGCUCUUCAACUGUGUCUGCUGAAUAACUGCGUCUGUGCAAUCACUACUGGCAGCUGAGAUGAGGUGUAGAAUGUUGACAAAAAGCUCACAUCCAGGCAGCAAGUUGAUGUUCAAGCACUGGACAAAAUGUCUACAUGAAACAUUUCUCCGUUACAUCAGCCCAGGUGUUUUCCAGUUGGAGUACGUGUGUGUUUUGUGUAACUGCUGCUCUCAUAACUCGGUGUACCCGUGGAAAGGGAUUGUCCUUGGCAUUCCUGUUUGAACUAUAAACCUCGCUAUUUAAUACAAUGCUAUUAAAGUGUUUGAUAUCUGUUCUAGUAAUAAAGUUGUGACUGAUCUUA